GACGAACGCUGGCGGCGUGCUUAACACAUGCAAGUCGAACGGUAAGGCCCUUCGGGGUACACGAGUGGCGAACGGGUGAGUAACACGUGGGGGAUCUGCCCUGCACUUCGGGAUAAGCCUGGGAAACUGGGUCUAAUACCGGAUAGGACUCCGGACUGCAUGGUCUGGGGUGGAAAGCUUUUGCGGUGUGGGAUGGGGCCGCGGCCUAUCAGCUUUUUGGGGGGGUGAGGGCCUACCAAGGCGACGACGGGUAGCCGGCCUGAGAGGGGGCCCGGCCACACUGGGACUGAGAUACGGCCCGGACUCCUACGGGAGGCAGCAGUGGGGAAUAUUGCACAAUGGGCGCAAGCCUGAUGCAGCGACGCCGCGUGAGGGAUGACGGCCUUCGGGUUGUAAACCUCUUUCAGCAUCGACGAAGCGAAAGUGACGGUAGGUGCAGAAGAAGGACCGGCCAACUACGUGCCAGCCGCCGCCGUAA
rnacentral:rRNA from 1 species